rnacentral:rRNA from 1 species
UACAGAGGGUGCAAGCGUUAAUCGGAAUUACUGGGCGUAAAGCGUGCGUAGACGGUUAUGUAAGUCAGAUGUGAAAGCCCCGGGCUUAACCUGGGAAUGGCAUUUGAGACUGCAUAGCUAGGGUGCGGAAGAGGGAAGCGGAAUUUCCGGUGUAGCGGUGAAAUGCGUAGAUAUCGGAAGGAACACCAGUGGCGAAAAGCGGCUUCCUGGUCCAGCACCGACGUUCAGGCACGAAAGCGUGGGGAGCAAACAGG